rnacentral:tRNA from 1 species
GGCCUCGAAGCUCAGCUGGUAGAGCACUCGCGGGUGGUGACCAUGCGUGGGUUCGAAUCCCACCGGAGCCA